CAGGCCGGUCGGGCAGUCGCUGGAGCGUGGCUAUAGCCGGCGCUCUGGAGGAAAGUCCGCACUCUACAGGGCACGAUGCCGGGUAACACCCGGGGCGGGGCCGGUUUUUAGCCGGUUACCUGCCGGAUCGGGCCACAGAAACAAACCGCCGGGGGCGACUCCGGUCAGGGUGAAAAGGUGGUGUAAGAGACCACCGGCGCGCCGGGUAACCGGCGCGGCCAGGCAACCCCCAUCGAGAGCAAGGCCAAGCAGGGACAAUGGAACAAUUCCGGGAGGCGGCCCGUCUCCUGAGCGGACUUCUUGUCCGCUUGCAGUUCCGGGUAGGCCGCUAGAGCCACGCGGUAACACGUGGUCGAGAUAGAUGGCUGCCGGGACGGGGAAAACCCGUCUUACAGAAUGCGGCUUAUAGGCCGGCCUGGGAA
rnacentral:RNase_P_RNA from 2 species